rnacentral:lncRNA from 1 species
ACCUUAACCUUCAACCAACCAGGUUUUCUGGUAUUCUUGUUGGAGCAGAGCUUUGAUCUCUUAUAUGUUCCUCAGUGGUUUUCUCUUCAGACAGUGCGACCUAACAAUUGUUCAAGCAGAUACAGCAAUCCUGAUUCCCAUGUCACUGCAUUGCAUCACAUCAUUUUGCAUUCAUAUCAUUUAACACAUGUUUAUCUAUUCUCAGGGGUUUAU